AAAAAGGGCCGACCUCUCGUGAAGAGAACGAUGGAAUUUAUAGAUUCGGCUGGGAAACUUGUCGAGAAAGCUUUUUUGCUUUUUUAGAUAAACUGACACGAGAGUUUGGUACCUUCUCAAACAGGCAUAAUUUCAAUCUAAUUAAUUGUAUCUGAGAUUUUUUUUACCAGAUUUUUUUACUAACAGGGUUUGUACAACUUCAAUCUGGAUAAAAGUAGAUUGAAUUCUAAUAGAUUGAACUCCUUCUAUAUUUACUGCAGGAGCCCUCACUUUUGCCGUAGCAAAACUGUUGGCAACUGGUCUUGUAAAUCUGAACAGGGUAGAAGUUCUUUAGCAUCCUGUAACAAAUCACCUGCUGGAAGUCAUCAUCCACACCCAUACUGCCCUCUUCGCUUUAUUGUUUUCGAUGAGUGACAAAACAGAGAAAAAAGAAUGCUGCGUGAAUGGAUUCUGUCACUGUCCAUGGUAUAGGCUGUUGUAUUCUCGUAAUAUAAUUGAGGUGUUAAUCGAACUGACCCCAUGGGAAUCUUUCAACCCCUAAUGGAUUCUUAAAAGGUUCGUCGUUUGCUCGUAAGCCAGUUUGAAUGGCAGGUGAAGGCCAGUGUCAAAAAAAAAUAAUCGACUAACUUUUCGUUUUUAUGGCAUAGCAGUCUUGGUCCUGGUCUUGGUCUUGGUUGGUUUUUUUAUCAGAUAACGGAAAUCCUCAGAUUAAUUAUUUAUUACCUCCAUUGGCUGCUGCCAUCGAGGAUGCGUUCGUCAGAUUGGCUGGUGAUGGUGAUAUCAGCGUAUUUGUUAUCCUUGUUGUAGCUGGGAGUAGAGUAAGCUGGUGCAGGUUAGCUAGUAGUAGGGUACUUUGGUGCAGGGAAGUUUGGGGUAGUAGUGAUAUAUCAAAUCUAUAAAUAUCUAUAAAUAUCUCAACCCCUGUAUAUGCUGUACAUGCAAAGUAACAUGUGCAAAUUCGAGCGCGUGUCCGUCCUGGUGUCGAAGACGUUUCAUCAUUUUUAUGUAUAGCUCGGGACAAAGAUCGGCAUUAACUCACGAUUUCUUCAUGUUGAUUUAUUCAUAUCAGCUCCUCGCGUAUUUCAUUCUUUUUUCAUAUUUGAAUUGGUUAAACAUAGCGGUAAUCUCCUCCUAUAAACCACUUUAAACGUUUAGCAUUAAUUGAUGUUUUAAAGUUGAUUUUUUUGGGCGUUAUUGGCUAACAUCGUUUUCUUUUGUUGUUGUGGCUCUCCCGCAUCUAUUCGGCCGAUCCAAACUAAUACACAACGCCAGUUUUAUUUCGAAAGUGA